AAAACAUAUAGAUAUCAAGUUUUUUUAAUCUGCCAUUCGGUUGGAUAAGAUAAGAUUGUGCCAUGGCUUUGCCGGUUGACAACUGCAACCAAACAUUCUAUCAUCAUAUCUCUGUUUCCGAACGUUGUAAGGUGUAGAAUAUGGCGACGAAAAGCGGAAGAAAAGAAAUCUAUCAUAUCUUUUUGCUGAGCUUGCUUCGCAAGGCUUACAUCAAUAUAGAUUAGGCAAUACUCCUCGAAAGGAUCCAGACAAUUUCGAAGGUACGUGGCCGUUGAACGAACAUUUUGACAGGUUUAAUUCUUGAUGACUAAUUUUCCUUUAUUACAAAUAAUAUGCGAUAUCUAAUCACUGAAAAUUCUGCUUUUUAUUUUAACUGCUUUAAAAGUAAAUAAAAACUUCGUUGCAUUUCAUUCCAUGAAAGAAUUGAACCCAUAGCCGCUAAAUUUGUAAUUAUAACGACCCAAAACAUGCUUAAAAUUCUCAACGUAUUCCGAAAAAUUGUGAAAUUGGACGAAACCGAAGAAGGAAAGCUUGGCAGUGGUAGUUAUGGAAUCGUCUGUAACGGAAUUUACGAAAAAAAGGUGGUAGCAGUCAAGAAAAUAUUGAAAGAACAUGGUGAUCGUGAAAAAAUUGCCAAAACUCGAAGAGAAAUGGAAGAACAUAAAGGCCUUGAUCAUGAAAAUGUACUGAGGUUACUUUACGUUGAGGAUACGACUAACAAAGACUUUACAUAUCUCGUUCUGGAACUGUGCGCUGGAACAUUGACGGACUAUUGCGGAAGCAAAUCUAAAGGACCAAUUUUGCCACCGGAUGAGCUGGUCCUUUACCAAAUCGCCAACGGGUUGAAUUACAUUCAUUCAAGAGAUUUGGUGCACCACGAUGUGAAGCCAGAUAACAUCCUCAUCUCAUCAAUGUCAACACCUGUCAAAAUGAAGUCAUCCGAUUACGGAUUUGUUUAAAAAGUGAGUGCUCAAAAAACUUUUUCGCAGAGCGGAUUAAAAGGAACUUUGAACUGGAUGGCACCUGAAAUGUUGGAAAUUCUAAAUAGUGCCACUGAUGAAACGGAAGUACUGCCACGUGGAACAAUUGAAAGUGAUACAUUUUCAGCUGGAUGUGUCUUUUUCUAUUUUGUGUCUCGCGGCUUGCAUCCAUUCGGCAGUCCUGUUCUCGUUCCCAGCAAUAUCGUGCAAAACAAUCCCAUGCAGUUCGACAGCUACAAACAAAGGAAAUGGAACGCAGUUGGCUGCUGGCUGCACAAGUGGUGACGUCUAAUAUGUCUGGAGUUAUCCCGGUGGUGAGCUUCUUUUUCAAACGGAACAACAUUUGCAGCUGAUCAAGCACCUUGAAUGGAAUCCAAUCAAACAUGACUGGCUGGCUACAUCCACUUUCUUGGUUGCCCGCGGAUCAUUAGUGGUUCCAGCCGGUACGUUUGGCUUGCUACAUAGGCCUACGUGGCGUGCCAUGCUAUUCGUCAAUACUAAACUAACAUCAUCGCCUUAACUGACGAAAUCCUUGAGUUGAGUGAGAAACUUUCUUUAAAUGUAUUCUUUUUUCUGUGUUGUUGCUGGAAGAGUUUUCCAGUUGCUCGGUUUUUCUUUUACAAAUAACGAAAAUAUCCAGUAUUUUUGUUUAAAUAAUUAAUUCAUUUGGAUUUAAGAAUGGGUACAAUGGAAAACCAAGUGUGCUUGAAUUCGUCGUCAAGCCAAUCAGUGAAAAAAUUUUACUGCACAAGUGAUGGCAAGGGAUACAUCAUGUGUGUAAAGUGGAUAUCUGAAAAUCAGAUCGCUCUAGCGCCAGACCGUGGUGGAAUUGAGGUUUAGGACAUUCACGAAAUGCAAUCAAAGUUCAGUGCGAAAAUUGUUCGAAAAUACAAAGAAAACCUGAGUUUUUCUUUGAAAUUUAAAAAAAUAUUAAUUCUAAUUCAUUUGCUCUUUUACUUGUUGCAGCAUUGCGUAACCGAUUUGCACUGGAAUGAAAAUACGAAAUAUUUGGCCUCUUGUAUGUCAUCCAAUGGCAUUAAGAUUUGGUCAACAGACAGCGAAGAGCCCGUUCACAGCAACAAUUCGUGGAAACAUUCAGGAGUUCAUUAUUUCACUUGUUGUCCAAACUUGAAACCGAGAGAAGACAUCGAAGCUGAAAGGAAAUCGCCCAACAACUUCGUUUUUGCUUGUGCCCUGCUAUAUGGAGAGAUUUUAAUUUGGAAUCCUUUGGAAAAGGAGCAAGAAAACCGGAUUCUUCGUCCUCAUACGCAUCGAGGAUGGGUUAACGCUUUUUGGCUUUCCUUUUCACCUGACGGGCGGUUUCUUUCUUCUUCAUCAGACUAUUCCAAUUAUAUAAUAAUCCUAUGGUCGACUGAAACAUGGACGCCCACUUUCACCAUUCGAGCUCCAUACGGUUUUUUUCACCGUCCUUCGUGGUGGUCCGGGGAUGCUAAUGAAUAUAAAAUAGCAUGUCCCAGGGACAAUCAGCUCCACUUGAUUGAAUACACCGUCAGCAACGAACCAAGCUAACGCCAUAAAUAGUUUCUUACGUAAAUAUUGUUUGACUCGCAAUUUAAAAAGCCGCAUACAAAAAACCACUUCAAACUACUUGUCAAUAAACUGAAAAUGAAAUGCAGCCGACAUUGCUAUUCCUUUUUGUUUUCGGAAAAGAUGCUUAGCAACUCAUCAGUAGACACAUUUUAUGCCUCUGUCUCCCAAAAGGGAGGUACAUUUUCCCUUUUUGUGUUAUUGGAGUAUCCGUUUUGAAUUUUUCAACAGUUAAAACAUAAUAGCUGGAUAGAAAAAAACUUGUUUAGAAACUAAUCUGGUCUAGGGUAGAAACUGCAUUUUGUUGCUUCCUCCCUCUUCGUGUUUGUUUCACGAACGAGACGAAACGCAAAACAGUUUAACAAUUCUGCCACUAGUGACAGGUCGGACAAUGCUGCGUCACUGCUUUUAAAUCCGAAUGAGACUAAACCUACAGACGUUUGUUAGUCAAGUUCGUUCUCUGGUUACAAUCAGCACGUCGUCUGUUUCUCGCAAACUUCGAGUUGAGACUAUCACGUUCAGGCGUUCGAUUCAUUUGAUUGUGUGGCGUUAUAAAGGAUUUGCGUCUGGAUAUCUGUGUUUACAUUAUUAUUAUACUUACCAUUCUACUGUAUGCAUUAUACAAAUAAUUUUAUCUACCUAGAUUUACGGCAUCAAAGCUUAUUACCUCGUCUGUCGUACAACUAAGUCACUUCCUUUAGCUUUUAUACCUAAUUUGCCUUUCAAAGUUUACAGUUAAUUAAAUAUAAUAAUAAUAAUAAUGUAAAGUCUGUUGCUCGACUAUCUUUUUUAUAGCUAGGCUACUACUCCAGCUUCAGCGGUCACUUUGUCUUCUUUCAGUUUAACCGAAGAUUAACUAUAGUCUAAUGCUACAUUUUUUUCGUUUCAAUAUUUGGCUCCUUCUUCCUUGGGAAAUGCAUGCGUGAUCGUCGACGUGAAAAAAAAUCAUUCGAAGGAUUAUUUGCAGUUAAAGAUAUGACCAACUUUACAAUUGUAUAGGCUACAUGUUGUGAAUGGAAGGUUGUACAUGUCGCCAGCAUGCAACAGUGGUCAAUCAAUAACGCAAACAUUAGUAAAAAUGUUUCAAUCAUUUAUUCAUCAUUUCUAUUCGCAAACGGAAAAUGUUUCAUAUGAACUAUGAUCGUUAAUCACGUCUCAUUUGCAACAGGUGAAACGGACGUCAUUCAAGGCCGUGUUGUCGUAGUGUCCAAUUCCUCCAUCGUACGGCUGGACACGAGUUUCCAUUCCGCAAAUGCCAAUUUCACAUUCUUCGCUGUACUGGCCCCAAUCGCCAUGAGUGUUGCCUAGGCCGUUAAUUUCUCCGCCGUUAGAACAUCUAAAACGGAUGUCAUUGGCUGCAGUGUUGUCCGCCUCACUACCAUUAGGACUCACUCGCAACUGGAAACUCUUCAUGUAGCCACCAAAAGGGCACGUCUGAACCGCGUAAUAAUCUCCAGAACUGCAUGCAAACGUUCAGGAUGAACCAUGAAAAUAAUUUGUAAAAGAUUACAUCGAUAAUUCUGUGAUCUCUAUUUGUAGCUUUUACAAUCCAAUUGAGGACGUCAAAUUGGUUACGAAUUCAUCGUUGCAAAACAGAACGAUGGUGUUGAGCGCCGUGUCGUCAAAUCGUGGUGUGGCGAGCUCGUUUCGGGUCUGGUAACUGACGACUCUCGAUCCACCCGGGCAGUGCUUUAGCGGUCCCCACUCACCUUCCGUUCCACCGUUAGUUACUGUAAUAACUUCAAUUGGCGGUCUAGUGGUACUGGGUGGUAGCGUUGGUAUGAUGGUCUCUUCUGUUUGACAAUUGACACCGAUGGCUACGGACAGCAGAUAGAAGUUUACCACGAGUUUAAACAUCUUGACUAAUUGUGGUGAGAGUAGAAAAUAUACUGCGCUGCUGAAUUUCA